rnacentral:lncRNA from 1 species
AACUUAUUGUCACAAAAAACUUAAUAAAAAAAUACAUACUCUGUUUAAAGACCAUUAAAAAUUACGUUAAAACUUUUAACAUUUUAAGAGAAAUUAUGAAUCAAUAAUAUUAAUUUUAUCCGAAAAAUUCAGCACUAAAUGCACAAAAAAAAAAAAAACCUUAAACUUUAUAAUCCUAAGCAUUAUUCCAAACGAAACCUUAAACCCAACCUAAACCAAACGCUAAACCUUUUCUACUACCUAAACCCUAAAUCCUACCUAACCCUAAACCCUACCUAAACCUAGACCUUAACCCUAUCUAACCCUAAACCCUACAUAAACCUAACCCUAAUCCCUAAACCCUUCAUACUACCUAACCCUAAACCCUGUUUAACCCUAAACCCUACCUAACCCUAAACCCUUCCUAACCCUAAAACCCUACCUAAAACCUAACCCUAAAUCCUACUAACCCUAAACCCUACUAUCCCUUAACCCUACCUAACCCUAACCCUACAUAACCCUAAACCCUACUAACCCUACCUAACCCUAAACCCUACUAACCCUAAACCCUACUAACCCUAAACCCUACCUAACCCUAAACCCUACCUAACCCUAAACCCUUUCUAGCCCUAAACCCUACCUAACCCUAAACCCCAUCUAACGCUAAACCCUACCUAAACCUAAACCCCUUCUAACCUUAAACCUGACCUAACCCUAAACCAUGCCUAACCCUAAACCCUACCUAACCCUUUUUAGCCGUAAAUCCUUCUAACCCUAAACCCUUUCUAACCCUAAACCAUGCUAACCCUAAACCCUACCUAACCCUAAAUCCUACUAACCCUAAAUCCUACCUAACCUAAACCCUACCUAACCCUAAAACCUUUCUAACCCUAAACCCUUUCUAGCCCUAAACCCUACCUAACCCUAAACCCUACCUAACCCUAAACCCUACCUAACCCUCAACCCUACCUACCCUAAACCCUUUUUAACCCUAAACCCUACCUAACCUAAAACCUAACCCUAAACCCUACCUAACCCUAACCCUGAAACCUACCUAACGCUAACCCUACAUAACCCUAAACCCUACUAACCAUACCUAACCUAAACCAUUUCUAACCCUAAACCCUUUCUAGCCCUAAACCCUACUUAACCCGAAACUCUACUAACCUUAAACCCUACUAACCUUAAACCCUAUUAUUUUCCUAAACCCUUUCUAACCCUAAACCCUACCUAACCCUAAACCCUACCUAACCCGUGCUUGGGAGUCCCUGAUGAUUAAAUAAACCAAGGAUUUUACACCCUACCUAACCCUAAACCCUACCUACCCUAAAUCCUUUCUAACCCUAAACCCUACCUAACCCUAAACCCUUUCUAACCCUAAACCUUACCUGACCCUAAAUCCCUUCUAACCCUAAACCUGACCUAACCCUACCUAACCCUUUCUAGCCUUAAAUCAUACUAACCCUAAAC